rnacentral:ncRNA from 1 species
AUCACUUGGGCCUCGAAUGGUUCCCGAAGGCCGGACAGGCCUUCAGGAUCAAAAGGGAAUGCGACGGAAUGGACCCACCCAGGGCAUUCUUAUCGCAGCCGACCCCGCGACUGUAGAGCGGCGAGGCGAAUGUCACCGGCCCCGGAGGCCGGUCUUGCGGCCGGCAAUGGUGCCUUCCGCCAGAUCUUUCCCCGGACCGGACAAGCCACUGGCGUGGCGGCAUGAUCAACCGGCGCGGACGCCUCUUUGUCUACGAAUCGUCCCGUUUUCAUGACCGCGUUUCACGCCGGGAAGGCCGGCAUUCGCCGUUGUCGACGGCAACGUCGACGCGACCCGCGAGCCAGGAGACCUGCCAUUCGCACCGGUUGAGA